AUUUUUAUCUGACAGGGGUCAUACCUGGGGAAGAAAAACAAACGAACCAGUACCUCCAUAAUAAGUAAAUAUGAGAACGCAGGUGCACGCUACCUUGGCUGAAACACAAUUGGAUUAGUAGAACUACAGGUAACAGCACACUAGUUAAUUGCAC